rnacentral:rRNA from 1 species
AUGUUUGGUUGUGUGCAAAUGCUACUGGGUCUGCAUGGCACGCUUCUUAAAGCAUCUCCGGGUCCAGCUAUGGAAGCACGCUCGAAUCGAUCAUAUUUUCAAAGCCAAGCCCGAGCGAUGAGAGCGGGUGCACGUGGGUGGAGGCGCUCAAUGCGGGAGACGCGUUCCAUGUGGGAGACGCGCUCCAUGUGGGAGACGCUGUGUUGGUUCCCAAAGCGGCGCCUUAACUCCCCUCACCCUCUCUCACCGCUCACUCUCCCCUCUGUCCACUCUCUCUCACUGGCGACCACCACAAUAUCUGCACGACGAGCACCAACAGGCAUACAUCGGAGUCGGACGGUGAUCACCAGCUUCACCCCCCCCCUCCGCGUCAAUGGCGGUAUGCCCUUUGUCCCCGUGAUUUCCCGCAACCGUGUUCGAUUUAUCGUCGAUUGUACAUUGCACGCAUUCGAUUCAAGGUUAGGCUUCGAUUUGUGA